GUUUUUGAGAUCUGAAUUAUUUCAUAAAAUUUUCCAUAAAUUUGUGCGAACUGAUCUCUCAAAUUGCUCUAGGAACUGCAUUGAUUAGAGAUUUUUUAUGACGGAAUGGAAGUCAGAGAAGCAAGAAGGCAUUGGCACCUAUUCCUUCAGCACGAGCACGAGCACUGUUUUUCAUGAAUCUUUUCCCACUGAAAGGCUAAAACAGCUUGGUCGUUUGACACAUUUGAACUUUCAUUUCUCUUAGAGUUAACCUUAGUAAGUGGAAAUGCACAUAGACAGGUAUGAUCAGCACUAACCAUACUGUUCAACUAUUGCCAAUGCAUUGAGAGGAACUAUUAUCUUUUAUUUCGAGUAUCAUUUAUAGGAAAUUAAGGAUCAUGGAGAAAUGAAAGUUGUGAUAAGCACGAAUAAUUGCCCUUCCCAUUUGUUAAUGGUCCAUUUACUACAAGAUAUGCACCUUGUAUUACUUUCUAGCUCUGUUUUUUAAUUGACCAAUUAGACGUUUAGUAGUUGGCAGCCUGAUUGAACAACAUAACUAAUUGGAAAUUGCCCACUUGGAAUUUUAAUGAGAAAGCAGAUACGUAUGAGAGUGAGGAAUAAAAUAUUUGUGCAUUAGUGGACGAAAGUCAAAUCCCAUCACUCUUUAUUGGAAAAAGCUUAUUCAGUAAUGAUGUUAUGUAGUUUUCAACUGCAAAAGUGAGAGGAAGGUUGAAUAUCUUCCCAAAAUAUUUUAAAAUUCUAUCAUCUUUUCCUCUUGAUUUUAUUUCUUGAGUGGAAACUUAUUGAAAAGGAAUUUCUGCAGUGUUGCUGGUCCCCUAAAGAAGCAACUAAUCCCUCUUUUAAUUGUAUAACUUUAUUUUCCCCAUUUUAUUGUCUAGCUCUUACAGUUUCUUGUUGAAAAUCUCAUCUGUUCAAAGACUUAAAAAGAACUGUUAUCUGAGAUAGGAAGGAUCGAGUUCAAGAAUUUCUAAUUGAUUGAACUUUGGCCAUAUACCUUUAACUAACAUAUGAAAGAUUGUAAACCCGUUUUCUUUGAAUAUAUAUUUGUUUGUUUUUUAUUGUUGAGAAAACUUUUAGAGGAUUAACAGACGGUUCAUCCAAUUGUGUUUGUUGGAUUUUCUCCUAUCUUUUCAACUUUCUUUCUUUUAUAAUAUAUAUAUGUAUUUAUUUUCACAUCCCCAUUUGAUCUCCUUUAACAUGGCAUUAUUGAAUAUUGUCAUGAAUGACAGCUACUGCUGCAGAUCUGCAUAGUCCCCCCCUCCCCCACCACUUUUCAGCCUCAAACUUCUUUUGAGCACUUCACUCAGUCCUUUCUCCUCCACUAUUGUUGUCUAUAGAUGUGUAAAGCAUAUGGUUUUCAUAUGGGCGAAUUCAUAGCUUUCUUAUGAGGUAUAGCUCAAGAGAAUUAAAUAAGUAAAACCUUCAGGUAAAAUCUACCUGAUCAACCUUUUCAUUUCUUUUCUUGUGAACGGACAGUGAGAAAUGACCAAAACUUUCUAAUGAAUUAACAUAUUGUCAGGAACAAGAAUCCAGUGCAGAUUGUGUAGGUAUUUUUGUUGUGAGAAUUUACAAAGGCUAUAUAUAUUUGUCUCUUUCUAUUUAUCUUACUUAUAUGCCUAAAUUUAUGGUACUGAAGAUCUCGUUUGGAUUUCUUUUUCCUCCUCUUUGUGGGUAUGGUAGAUCUGGUUCUGCCAUUCGAGUAUUAACAACUCGACGUUCAAUAGUUGCCAGUUUCAUAAAUCAAAUUAUUCACGAAUUUGUUUGAAAGAAUUGUUCCCUUGAUGAAGUGUGUGAAAUAAAGUGAAACUUGCUCCCUUGUUGGGUUAAGCAAGCAAAAACGUUUGCUAUUCCCCUGCACUGCUUUAUCCAAAAAUGAAAUAACAGGAUUUACUUGGGUCUACUUAAACUUUAGUAAAAUUGAGUAAGUAUUAGUUGUUAUGUUUUAGCUUGGUUGGGUGAGCUUGGGUUCAAUUUUUAUUGCUUAAGCAGUUGUCCUUAAAAUUCAAUCAGACCAACCUUAAUUAUUGACGCCUGAUAAUUAUGCACAUAGAUACAAGGUAGAAGCAAAGCAGAAAAGGGAAGGGAAAAAGGAGGGGAAAAAGAAAAAGAAAACAACGUGUAGCUAAAAGCCAAAUGCUUUUUUGCAGAAAAUAAUGCAAAGUCUUGUGGAUCCUCUAUUCCUAGAAUCUCUCUUUUUCCCAUCUCUAUCGCAGACUGAUUAGUUCCACACACACUUUCUUUCUCUCAAAUUGCUUUAGUGGGAGCAGAGAACCUAUGAAUUUAUAUUUGGUUAGCUUCUAUGCAGAAUAAAUGGACACUGCUUCAAAAGUGGAAAAAUACUUUAUACCCUCUGUUAUUGCAGAAAUUAUAUGCUUAGGAUUUUCCCUCCUUUAUGGGAUGAGAUUCUGUAGACUGAGAGUUUGAUGAUGAGUUGUUGGCAGAGAGAGAAUUGUUUUGAUUGGGCCUACAUCUUUAACGACUCAAACAUCAGUAGCCAAAAGAUGCAUGUGGACUGCUUGAGAUUGGCUUUUACUUUGUAUUUGAAGUGUGAACUAUAAUCAAUUGUUUUUCAUAGAUUUGAGCAGAUAUCAUCAAUUAAUGGGAUAAGGAUCCGUUCUUUUUUGCUUUGUUUUUGGUUAAAGGGAGCUUGAUUUAUGUCAGAUGUCUUGUUUUAAGAAUUUAUGCAUAGUGGUUUAUGUGUGUGUAGAUACACAUGCAUAUGUAUUUAUGUACGUAUGUAUUCUACAAAAGCUUCCAAUUAAGCUUUUACGAGUUAAAAUUCGAAAUUUACAAAUAAUUUAAAGUCAUCCUUUACAA